GAUGAACGCUAGCGAUAGGCUUAAUACAUGCAAGUCGAGGGGUAACGUGUUGGAAGCUUGCUUCCGAUGACGACGACCGGCGGAUGGGUGCGUAACGCGUAUGCAACUUGCCUCACAGUGGAGAAUAACCCGGAGAAAUCCGGACUAAUACUCCAUACACUCUUAAGUACGCCUGUACAUGAGAGGAAAGAUUUAUCGCUGUGAGAUAGGCAUGCGUCCUAUUAGGUAGUUGGUGAGGUAACGGCUCACCAAGCCGACGAUAGGUAGGGGUGCUGAGAGGCAGAUCCCCCACAUUGGGACUGAGACACGGCCCAAACUCCUACGGGAGGCAGCAGUGAGGAAUAUUGGUCAAUGGAGGAAACUCUGAACCAGCCAAGUCGCGUGAAGGAAGAAUGUCCUAAGGAUUGUAAACUUCUUUAGCGAGCGAGUAAGGACUUCCACGUGAUGGGAGUUUGAAAGUAGCUCGAGAAUAAGUAUCGGCUAACUCCGUG
rnacentral:rRNA from 1 species